UAUAUUAAUUUCAUAUGGAUUUCUACAACCCGUUUUAAUUCCUGCUUAAUUUAUUACGUUUUAUAACUAGUUACGUCCUGACAUUUGCACUUAAAAGGUCAAGACUUUAGUCAAACAUUUCUCCAAGUACGACAUAAUUGUUUGUCAGGUGCAGCGGUUGUAGUAAAAACUGAAAAUAUGUCCAAACUUCGAGCCGAUUCCCUAAAAUGUU